GGCCGCCAGGGCUUCACCAAUGGGGCGUGGAGGAGGGCUCCGCAGGCGAGAUUGGGAGGCUACUGCCAGGAGCAGGGGGAGGAUGCGGGGAAGCGGAAGACUGGUGUCUUUCGUUCCCAUGGUGCUCAGGGACCUCAGUGAGAGCGAAGUUCCUGACAGCCGUUUGUUGCCAAGCGAAUGGAGGGGCCAUCUCAGGCAAAGGGAUGGGGUAGGCUUAGAUACUGCAUUUAAAGGAAGGUUCGGUAAUGUUCAAAGCCAGCUAAGAGACCUGAACAGAGGGAGCCCUGCGUCCAGAUCGAGGUGUGAAAGCAAAGAUAUAUGAGUUAGAGGGAAGCUGGGGUUUCCUUGUGGAGGAAUAGACAAAACAAAAAAGUACACAGCAGUUGUUAGGGAGCCCUGUUCUAAGACUGAUGGCCCUCAGCAGUCGGGACAGACGUCGGAGGGAAGUUUGUGGGUUGGACUCUUGUUACAUUGUCCCUUCUCUGGGACCUCUCAGCUCUGGCCAGGGUCUAAUUAAACCUGUAUCAUCCCCUUCAAGAGGGGUGUGGUGGGUACGAUGGAUAGAGUGUUUCUUACAGAUCCCUCAUCUUGGCCCUGCUUAGAGAAAGGUUUAGUCUGGGCCACAUUGUUUCUGGUUCUGGCCUAUAGGCACCAUUCCCUGUGCAGACUGACCCUACCUAUACCCCGCCCUCUUCUCUAAUCUCUGAACCCUACAGACCUCACUUUGCAGGCAGCUAGAUUCUGCACAUUCUCUUUAUAACAAGCUAGUUCAGACAGAGUCCAUGUGAUUAGAGCUGGCUCCUGUGAAACCACAGAUAGCUUGCCUCUGGUAUUCCCCUCACCUGAAGGGCUAGGGUUCAUGUGAGUGGGUGAGGGGGGCAGGGAGAGGGGGCUUAGCACCGGCUUUGGGCCGGCAACAGUGUCCAUGGCCUUGGAAGCUUGUCUGGGAUGCAGAAGGUUAAUGGACCAAUGAAAAGAACAAGGAACCAUGUCCAGGAUGACAGAACCUGGCUCGAGGAGAGCCUCACAACUAGCUCUCAAAGCGUUACUGACUGCAGCACAGCUCCCCUCUGGAAUGUGUCAGGGGAAGGCAGGACGGACAAGGGAAAAAAGGCUCCCAGCCACUCUAAAACGGACAUCGCAAAUACUUACACUGAGGCGGGCCCCUCAGUUCCUCACUUUGAGCCUGCUUCCUCUUGUUUUACCCACAGUUCUGUGGGAUGUCCAGGUCCUCUGGCAGUCUUUCCCAAUGAGCUUUGUCCCCCACCCUGGCAUGUGCCUCGUGGUAACUUCUGUCAUGGUCCGAAUCACUCCCGUGGACAUUUUGCCUUCUGGGUCCCCGGACUUGAAUUUCCCAAAGGCAGAGACAGUGGUUUAUCCCCGUGGUCUCACAUUGCAGCCCACACAUAGUGUAUGAGAAGGUAUCUAAUAAAGGUAGAAUGAUGCCUCCCUUCGCAUAGACCCAGGAAUUUGGAACUUGGCAGGGGCAGGGACGAGGAUGAGUGGAGUGUCACUGCCUGGCGUGGAGGAGGAGGCAGAAAACCACCCUGAGUAGACACAUAAUGAUUAGAAGCUCAUGAACAGACCGCCUGUGACCUUGGCUGUUGCUGAGGCUCCAGGGCACCGAGCAAAGGUUAGAGACCGGAGAGUGCUGACAGAUUGCAAAAAAAAAUCUCUGUCCCCACAAGCGUUUUACGGGACGGUGUGGUUGUUUCAAAGUUUGGUUCUGUCGGGAUCACACCCUCAGCUGUUUGACGCGUGCUCUACACACGACUCUUUCCCGUAGGGUCUCUGACAGCCCAGAUGUUUCUGCGACAAACUACUGUCUCCUGUCUGGCUUUUUAGACCCUGUAGGGUGUCAUUGAGGUUUUCAAGCUUUCUUCAGGAUUUUCAAAAGCCUAGUGGGUAAGCCUAAGUGGGGAAUCCAAACGUUAACUUACUUGCCAUGGGCUGGAAUGAAAUCUGCUCAGUGUGGUAACAGUUACGCAGUCUGAUGAGUGCUUAUGUGUGUCCUAGUUAAUCAAAUAGGGACUGAUAAGUGCAUCUUCUCUCCCAGCACCCAGCUUGGUAGACUUUUGUGGAACUGUUACUUGAUCAAUUGAGUUUUCUGGGGGGAAACCAUGUGCAGAAUGAGGCAGAAAUACGGAAAAUGUCUUUGGGCUCUGAAAGAAAUGACUAGUAGCUUCCCUCCCGCGUAGUUUCCUCCGGAGCCUGUGGAGGGCGGGGAAAUCGGUGAGGAGGCCCGGUUGCAGCGCAGUCGCCCCCUGGUGGUCAACGGGGAAGCACAGUACUUGUAACCACAAGCAAACGGUGUCUCCAAUGAAACCUCCACGUGGGGAGGAAAAGAGAAGCCAUUCAUCUUCUAAAUCGUAGACUGGCCAUUGCUUUGGAAAGUCUGGAGCAGAACACGAUAGGGAAGGGUACGGGCACCUUUACCCAAUGUCUCUGGGCCUCACUUUUCCUAUUCCUUGCAGUAAAGGCACCAAAGAAGAAGCCUCUUGGAUAGGCCGUGUGAGGGAAUGAGACAAGCCAGGCCACAGGAACUUCUGCACUUGCUCUGGGCCAUGUCUCGUGUCUGGGGCCAUGUAUCAUGUCUCUCGAGAGGAAGAGAGAGAGAGGAGAGGGAGAGGGAGAGCAAGCGAGAUCAGUCAACCUGGCCACGAACGUGGAAACGGAGGACCAGCAAGGUAAACUGAUGUGCUUGGGAUGAAACAGAAAGCUCUGGAACUGAAGCAUGGGCCCUGUGCCCUAAAUGUCACAGGGCCUUAGAGACAGAGAAACAGAAGAUGAGUGUGGAAGGAGCAGAGAAGAGGAGACACAGAAUCGAAAG